GACAGAGGGUGCAAACGUUGUUCGGAAUUACUGGGCGUAAAGCGCGUGUAGGCGGCCCUGCAAGUCGGGUGUGAAAUCCCAUGGCUCAACCAUGGAAGUGCACUCGAAACUGCAGGGCUAGAGUCCUGGAGAGGAAGGUGGAAUGCUUGGUGUAGAGGUGAAAUUCGUAGAUAUCAAGCGGAACACCGGUGGCGAAGGCGGCCUUCUGGACAGUGACUGACGCUGAGACGCGAAAGCGUGGGGAGCGAACAGG
rnacentral:rRNA from 1 species